rnacentral:rRNA from 1 species
AUUGAACGCUGGCGGCAUGCCUUACACAUGCAAGUCGAACGGCAGCACGGGAGCUUGCUCCUGGUGGCGAGUGGCGAACGGGUGAGUAAUAUAUCGGAACGUACCCUAGAGUGGGGAUAACGCAGCGAAAGUUGCGCUAAUACCGCAUACGAUCUACGGAUGAAAGUGGGGGAUCGCAAGACCUCAUGCUCAUGGAGCGGGCCGAUAUCUGAUUAGCUAGUUGGUGGGGUAAAGGCCUACCAAGGCUUCGAUCAGUAGCUGGUCUGAGAGGACGACCAGCCACACUGGAACUGAGACACGGUCCAGACUCCUACGGGAGGCAGCAGUGGGGAAUUUUUGGACAAUGGACGCAAGUCUGAUCCAGCCAUUCCGCGUGCAGGAUGAAGGCCCU